rnacentral:rRNA from 1 species
GUCUACGGCUGUGCCACCCUGAACGAGCCUGACGGCUGAUCUCCGAAGCUAAGCAGGGUCGGGCCUGGUUAGUACUUGGGUGGGAGACCACCUAGGAGGAGCAGGUGCUGUAGGCA